GAUUUUCCGUAUGGCUGAGUGGUUUAAGGUAUCCCUCUUGAAAAGGGACGUACAUUUUUUGGUGUACCGUGGGUUCAAAUCCCACUGCGGUCU
rnacentral:tRNA from 1 species